rnacentral:rRNA from 1 species
UACAGAGGGCUCAAGCGUUGUUCGGAUUCAUUGGGCGUAAAGGGUGUGUAGGCGGCGCCGUAAGUCGGGUGUGAAAUUUCGGAGCUUAACUCCGAAACUGCAUUCGAUACUGCGGUGCUUGAGGACUGGAGAGGAGACUGGAAUUCAUGGUGUAGCAGUGAAAUGCGUAGAGAUCAUGAGGAAGACCAGUGGCGAAGGCGGGUCUCUGGACAGUUCCUGACACUGAGACACGAAGGCCAGGGGAGCAAACGGG